GCCGCUCGAAACUUUGCACACCUCUACGCGGUGGGCGGCAGGCAACACAGUGAUGUGACUAAGGGGCAGAG
rnacentral:ribozyme from 1 species